GACAGAGGGUGCAAACGUUGUUCGGAAUUACUGGGCGUAAAGCGCGUGUAGGCGGCCCUGCAAGUCGGAUGUGAAAUCCCACGGCUCAACCGUGGAAGUGCAUUCGAAACUGCAGGGCUAGAGUCCUGGAGAGGAAGGUGGAAUGCUUGGUGUAGAGGUGAAAUUCGUAGAUAUCAAGCGGAACACCGGUGGCGAAGGCGGCCUUCUGGGACAGUGACU
rnacentral:rRNA from 1 species